AGUGAACGCUGGCGGUAGGCCUAACACAUGCAAGUCGAACGGCAGCACAGGAGAGCUUGCUCUCUGGGUGGCGAGUGGCGGACGGGUGGGGAAUACAUCGGAAUCUGCCCAGUCGUGGGGGAUAACGUAGGGAAACUUACGCUAAUACCGCAUACGACCUUCGGGUGAAAGAGGGGGAUCGCAAGACCUCUCGCGAUUGGAUGAGCCGAUGUCGGAUUAGCUAGUUGGCGGGGUAAUGGCCCACCAAGGCGACGAUCCGUAGCUGGUCUGAGAGGAUGAUCAGCCACACUGGAACUGAGACACGGUCCAGACUCCUACGGGAGGCAGCAGUGGGGAAUAUUGGACAAUGGGCGCAAGCCUGAUCCAGCCAUACCGCGUGGGUGAAGAAGGCCUUCGGGUUGUAAAGCCCUUUUGUUGGGAAAGAAAUCUUUCAGGCUAAUACCCUGGGAGGAUGACGGUACCCAAAGAAUAAGCACCGGCUAACUUCGUG
rnacentral:rRNA from 1 species